rnacentral:rRNA from 1 species
CUUGGUCAUUUAGAGGAAGUAAAAGUCGUAACAAGGUCUCCGUAGGUGAACCUGCGGAGGGAUCAUUACAAGUUGACCCCGGCCCUCGGGCCGGGAUGUUCACAACCCUUUGUUGUCCGACUCUGUUGCCUCCGGGGCGACCCUGCCUCCGGGCGGGGGCCCCGGGUGGACAUUUCAAACUCCUGCGUAACUUUGCAGUCUGAGUAAAUUUAAUUAAUAAAUUAAAACUUUCAACAACGGAUCUCUUGGUUCUGGCAUCGAUGAAGAACGCAGCGAAAUGCGAUAAGUAAUGUGAAUUGCAGAAUUCAGUGAAUCAUCGAGUCUUUGAACGCACAUUGCGCCCUCUGGUAUUCCGGAGGGCAUGCCUGUCCGAGCGUCAUUGCUGCCCUCAAGCACGGCUUGUGUGUUGGGCUCCGUCCUCCUUCUGGGGGGACGGGCCCGAAAGGCAGCGGCGGCACCGCGUCCGGUCCUCGAGCGUAUGGGGCUUUGUCACCCGCUCUGUAGGACUGGCCGGCGCCUGCCGAUCAACCAAACUUUUUUCCAGGUUGACCUCGGAUCAGGUAGGGAUACCCGCUGAACUUAAGCAUAUCAAUAAGCGGAGGA